GGAAGGCAGCAGGCUCAGAGAGGGCCCUCUGACUGGAUGCAGGACUGGCGGGAAGGCAGUGGGGUCAGAGGGCAGUGCGUGGGCUGAGACGUUUCCGGGGGUCCUCUGACCGGGGAUGGAGCAGCUACUGCGUCUUUAUAGGUGGAGGAACAUUGCUUUAUUCAAACAGGCUUGAGUGACAACUUGAGGACAAGGACACUUUGCCAAGAUUUUACGCAGCGGCUGGCAGGGCCAGAGAGGCAGCAUGGUGUGGCAGGAGAAUGAGGACCUGCGCAAGCAAUUGGUUGAAGCCUCAGAGUUAUUGAAAUCCCAGGCCAAAGAACUCAAAGAUGCCCAUCAGCAGCAAAAGCUGGCCCUGCAGGACUUCUUGGAGCUCUGUGAGCUGGUAGCAGAGCUCUGCUCCCAGAAGCAGAAGGUGUGGGACAAGGAGGGGGAGAUGGAGGUGGCCAUGCAGAAAGUCAACACGAUGUGGCAGGAGAGCUGAAGAUCCAAGAAGCUCAGAAAGAGGAAGCUAUUUAUAUGGUUCAGUGAUGGUAUUGAUUGGACUUUUUAAAAUGUUUCAUUAUUACACUUUAAGUUCUGGGGUACUUUGUAUGACCUUAAUAAAACAUCUUUGAGGCCGGGCGCGGUGGCUCAUGCCUGUAAUCCCAGCACUUUGGGAGGCUGAGGCGGGCGGAUCAUGAGGUCAGGAAAUCAAGACCAUCCUGGCUAACACGGUGAAACCCCGUCUCUACUAAAAAUACAAAAAAAAUUAGCUGGGCCUGGUGGUGGGCGCCUGUAGUCCCAGCUACUCAGGAGGCUGAGGCAGGAGAAUGGCGUGAACCCAGGAGGCGGAGCUUGCAGUGAGCUGAGAUCACGCCACUGCACUCCAGCCUGGGCGACAGAGUGAGACUCCGUCUCAAAAAAAAAAAAAAAAAAACUUUGAAAACUUGAGCUGUAUUAUGUAAAUUACUUUAAAAUGGAUCUUAAGUUUUUGUGAAACCAAGUAAGUUGAUCUGCCGAGCAUUUAUUUUGUUCUCAUCCCUCAAUAUCUGUGAAAUUAUUAAAAGAGGUUCCUGUGGUACUAAGUUUUAAAAAUUCCCUUGUGGCCGGGCGCGGUGGCUCACGCCUGUAAUCCCAGCACUUUGGGAGGCUGAGGCAGGCGGAUGGCCUGAGCUCAGGAGUUCGAAACCAGCCUGGGCAACACGGUGAAACACCGUCUCUACUAAAAAAUACAAAAAAUUAGCUGGGCAUGGUGGCGGGCGCCUGUAGUCUCAGCUACACGGGAGGCUGAGGCAGGAGAAUGGUAUGAACCCAGGAGGCAGAGCCGGCAGUGAGCUGAGAUCGCUCCACUGCACUCCGGCCUGGGCGAUAGAGCGAGACUCCGUCUCAAAAAAAAAAAAAGAAAAGAAAAGAUUUUGGGGGACAUUUGAGAAGGCCUGAUUGUAUUUUGCAACGUAAGGACAUGAGAUUUGUGGGGGGAGGGGGCAAAGGCUGAAUGAUAUUGUUUGGAUAUUUGUCCCCACUGAAAUCUCUUGUUGAAAUGUACUUCCCGGUGCUGGAGGUGGGGCCUGGUGGGAGGUGUUUUGGUCAUGGGGAUAGAUCCCUCAUGGUUUGAUGCUGUUCUCAGGCUAGUGAGCGAGUUCUCAUGAGAUCUGGUUGUUUACAAAGUGUGGCAUUUCCCCUGCCACUCUUGCUCCCCCUUUGUCUGCUGCCAUGAUUGUAAGCUUCCUGAGGCCUCCCCAGAAGCAGAUGUUGACACUGUGCUUCCUGUAUAGCCUGCAGAACCAUGAGCCAAUUAACCUGCUUUUCUUAUAAAUUAUCCAGUCUCGGGUGUCUCUUUAUAUCAAUUCAAGAACCACUUAAUACACUGCAUACUACAUAGAGAUACAAGCAUAUGUACGAAAGGUAUGAAGUAUGAUGAUUAUAAACCCUAGUUUCAUGGUGGUGUUUAUCUGUCUGUGGGGAGGUCAAUAUGCAGCCUGGGACUGGGUCCCCAGAGGGCUUCCAAUGUACUGAUAAUGUUUUAUUUCUUCCAUUGGAUGGUGGAUGCACAGUAGUUCAUUGAAUUUUUCUAUAUCCCUUGUGUACAUUUUAAAUAUUUCACAUUAUUUCCAAAUAAAUAUUGAAUUACUUAUAAAAUGAAAAGCAAAAAGAGGAAGCAAUAAAGGGAACUCCAAUUUGGAUUUAUUGUUGAUCUAUGAAGAUGAAUUGUGUAAGAAUCUUGGCAGAAAGGAAAAUUUCAGAACAGAUUCAUGGUGCUGACCAUAUGUACAUAUACCCUAGACUUUGGGGAAAGAAAUUUUAAAAAAGAAAAUAUGUAAGAGUUACAUUGACAGAGACUCAAAUUUAAAUUAUAAGUAUUCAAGUCCAAGGGAUGUAAAAUCCAACCAAGUGGUCGACACACAACCCUUCUCCGGUGCCCCUAACCACCCCUGGGGGUUUGUGCAGAGCUUGGAUUUUACAGGCCCUCUUCAUAAGGUGGAAACAGGGCAUCACCAAAAAGAAGCAAAACAGAGGCAGGAGCUAUAGAGCAAGAAGACUAAGCCGAGAAUAAGCUGAUGCUCGCCAGAAUACUGGAGCCCACAGAACAUCCCUGCAGAGCAGAAAGCCUCCUU
rnacentral:lncRNA from 1 species